rnacentral:tRNA from 1 species
GCCACCGUAGCUCAGUUGGUAGAGCAAACGAUUCGUAAUCGUUAGGUCGAGGGUUCGAAUCCCUCCGGUGGCU